rnacentral:tRNA from 1 species
GCCUGGGUGGCUCAGUUGGAAGAGCCUAUGGCUCUUGAUCUUGGGGUUGUGGGUUCAAGUCCCAUGUUGGGUA